UACGAAGGGGGCUGGCGUUGCUCGGAAUGACUGGGCGUAAAGGGCGCGUAGGCGGCUUGUAUAGUCGGAUGUGAAAUUCCUGGGCUUAACCUGGGGGCUGCAUACGAGACGUAUGGGCUUGAGUGCGGAAGAGGGUCGUGGAAUUCCCAGUGUAGAGGUGAAAUUCGUAGAUAUUGGGAAGAACACCAAUGGCGAAGGCAGCUCACUGGGACGGUAUUGACGCUGAGACGCGAAAGCGUGGGGAGCAAACAGG
rnacentral:rRNA from 1 species